rnacentral:rRNA from 1 species
GACGAACGCUGGCGGCGCGCCUAACACAUGCAAGUCGAACGGGGUUCUUUUAGGAAGCUUGCUUCUUGGCUGAACCUAGUGGCGGACGGGUGAGUAACACGUGAGCAACCUGCCCUGGAGUGGGGGAUAACAUCUGGAAACGGAUGCUAAUACCGCAUAACAUCGAGAUCCGGCAUCGGGUUUCGAUCAAAGGAUUUAUUCGCUUUAGGAUGGGCUCGCGUCCGAUUAGAUAGUUGGUGAGGUAACGGCUCACCAAGUCUGCGAUCGGUAGCCGGACUGAGAGGUUGAUCGGCCACAUUGGGACUGAGACACGGCCCAGACUCCUACGGGAGGCAGCAGUGGGGAAUAUUGCACAAUGGGGGAAACCCUGAUGCAGCGACGCCGCGUGAGUGAAGACGGCCUGGUGUAAGACGUACUGUGUAGGGACGGAGUAAGUAGACGGUAACCCUUACGUAAACGACCGAACGGACCUAACUAACGUACGGCCACGCACGACCGCGGUAACGUAGUAACGUACUAUA